rnacentral:rRNA from 1 species
GACGAACGCUGGCGGCGUGCUUAACACAUGCCAGUCGAACGGAAAGGCCUCUUUCGGGGGGUACUCGAGUGGCGAACGGGUGAGUAACACGUGAGUAACCUGCCCUUGACUUUGGGAUAACUUCAGGAAACUGGGGCUAAUACCGGAUAGGAGCUCCUGCUGCAUGGUGGGGGUUGGAAAGUUUCGGCGGUUGGGGAUGGACUCGCGGCUUAUCAGCUUGUUGGUGGGGUAGUGGCUUACCAAGGCGUUGACGGGUAGCCGGCCUGAGAGGGUGACCGGCCACCCUGGGACUGAGAUAAGGCCCAGACACCUACGGGAGGCAGCAGGGGGGAAUAUUGCACAAUGGGUGGAAGCCGGAUGCAGCAACGCCGCGUGCGGGAUGACGGCCUUCGGGUUGUAAACCGCUUUCGCUCAUGACGAAGCUUUGUGUGACGGUAGUGGGUAAAGAAGCACCGGCUAACUACGUG